rnacentral:rRNA from 1 species
CGGACGGGUGAGUAAUGCCUAGGAAUCUGCCUGGUAGUGGGGGACAACGUUUCGAAAGGAACGCUAAUACCGCAUACGUCCUACGGGAGAAAGCAGGGGACCUUCGGGCCUUGCGCUAUCAGAUUAGCCUAGGUCGGAUUAGCUAGUUGGUGAGGUAAUGGCUCACCAAGGCGACGAUCCGUAACUGGUCUGAGAGGAUGAUCAGUCACACUGGAACUGAGACACGGUCCAG